AUGGUGGCAGUCUAUCUCAUCGUUACAGAUAUAUCUUCCUUGAUUAGUUUUGUAAGCUCUUCAUCAGCGAUGGAGUACUCGACGAAGCUAGUGGUGCUGCUCGUAGCUCUCAUGUCGGCCAUGGCGGUCACGGCCCAAAACUCGGAGCAGGACUUCGUGGACGCCCACAACGCGGCGCGCGCCGACGUGGGCCUUGGGGAGGUGACAUGGGACGCUACGGUGGCAGCCUUCGCGCAGGACUACGCGGAUCAGCGCCGCGGCGACUGCCAGCUGAUCCAUACUCCUGAUGGCCGGCCGUACGGGGAGAACCUCUACGGAGGCGGCGGGACCGAGUGGACGGCGACGGACGCCGUGAAUUCGUGGGUGUCGGAGAAGCAGUACUACGACCACGACAGCAACACCUGCUCGGCGCCCGAGGGUGAGUCGUGCGGGCACUACACGCAGGUGGUGUGGCGCGACUCGACGGCCAUCGGCUGCGCCCGCGUCGUCUGCGACAGCGGCGACGGUGUGUUCAUCAUCUGCAGCUACAACCCGCCAGGCAACUUCCCCGGGGUGAGCCCGUACUAG
rnacentral:rRNA from 1 species